CGUCGGGCUCAUAACCCGAAGGUCGUCGGUUCAAAUCCGGCCCCCGCAACCA
rnacentral:tRNA from 1 species